rnacentral:rRNA from 1 species
AGUGAGGAAUAUUGGUCAAUGGGCGCAAGCCUGAACCAGCCAUCCCGCGUGCAGGAUGACGGCCCUAUGGGUUGUAAACAGCUUUUGUUUGCCAAGAAUGGUUACUACGUGUAGUAAUCUGACGGUAGCAAAUGAAUAAGGACCGGCUAACUCCGUGCCAGCAGCCGCGGAAUACGGAGGGUCCAAGCGUUAUCCGGAUUUAUUGGGUUUAAAGGGUGCGCAGGCGGAACUUUAAGUCAGUGGUGAAAUCUUGCCGCUUAACGGUAAAAUUGCCAUUGAUACUGAAGUUCUUGAAUGUAGUUGAGGUAGGCGGAAUGUGUUGUGUAGCGGUGAAAUGCAUAGAUAUGACACAGAACGCCAAUUGCGAAGGCAGCUUACUAAGCUACUAUUGACGCUGAGGCACGAAAGCGUGGGGAGCGAACAGGAUUAGAUACCCUGGUAGUCCACGCCGUAAACGAUGAUCACUCGCUGUUUGCGAUACACAGUAAGCGGCUGAGCGAAAGCAUUAAGUGAUCCACCUGGGGAGUACGAUCGCAAGGUUG